AGCCGCAUGUGCCUUCUUCAAACCCAGCUUCCUCCACGGAUAGAAAAAGGGAAAUAAUUUUAACUAUAAAAUCACAUGCUCGAUGAGAAGGCCCAGCGGGACGAGGAAGCUGAUGUGUUCUCUGCGGUGUAACAGCCGCUUUUUCUGAGAGGUCUUUUUUGGGGGAUUUUUUACAAGUUGUUAGGUUUUGGGCUCCUGACCUCAAUUGCCAGGCAUCUGCGGCUAAACUAGGUCCCAUGUUAGGCUCCCUGCGCAAGGCUGCCCUGAGCAGAGACCCCGCCAGCCUCCGGCCUCCCUCCCACUCGCUCCGGGAGCACAAGGGGUGUCCUGGGGAAGCCCCCCCCAGCCCUCACCCAGAGCCCUCCCGCCUGGGGCCCUGCUCCCCCUGCUCCGAGGCUGCCUAGCUCCCCGUUUGGUCCCUGAUCCUCAGGAUGGGUCAGACCACACCCGGAUCGCAUUUGUAAUUUUGACGAUGGCCACAGAAAGGCUCUGACUUGGAACUUAGGAAGAACUUUCCAGUCAUGGGAGUCUUGCGUGUCACAGAAUGGUGAUUCAGGGCUUCCUUCUGUCGGUGUGGGCCGGACGUCUGUCCGGCGAUCCCCGGUUACUUAAAAGCACUUUAGCGUAAGCAGGGAGGUUUGGUCUCUUUCUCUCAUGUGGCUUCUCUGUAUUAGAGUCAAAGAAAGUCAGAUUGGAGAGGGGGCCUCAGACACUGAGGGCCGGUCUUCCUGCCUCGGACCGCAGGUGUGAAGGUGAGAUUGUCACUGGUGCAGCUCAACGCGAAGGGGACGCCGCGUGGGCGCGGGGUCCUGGGCUGGACGCUGCGGCAGGAGAAGAGCAUCCUGGGAGAGGCCGGGGACGUCUGAACCGAGGCCACGGUGCAGCUCACGGCGCUGUGCCCAGGACUACGGUCAGUAGAAGCAUCAGGAAAAUGUAGCACUGGAAGCAGAUCUCCGUUAGAGAACAGUGAGGUGGGGGUCCCCACUGGCCCGACUUCCCUGCAACACCCUCCAGGACCCUCCCUCGUCUCGUCCAAGCCGAGCCGGAGAAUCUAUGACUUGAGAAACCAGGAAGAAACAGAACAGACGGGCGCCUGGGUGGCUCAGUCGGUUAAGCGUCUGGCUUCAGCUCAGAUAUCCAGAAGCAGAACUGCAGGAUCACCGGGUCAUUCUAUUUUUAACUUUUUGAGGAACCUCCAUCCUGUUUUCCACAGUGGCUGCUCCCGUCUGCGUUCCCAC